CUCCAACCCUCAACGUUCGAAUUUCCGUAGAGCUACCAUUUUCUCUCGCUUGAUAACCCUUCUUCUUCCCCCUCCUCUCCGAUCCCCCCACUGCGCGCGAUAGAGUAAUGGCGGCGGCUGCAAAGAUAUCUCGAGCCGUCGUACGCCGACCCUCGGGAUUCUCCAAGCUCUCCACUCCUCGUCGAAGACUCUCGUCGAGGUCCCCGGCAAAAGAUAAACGGGCGAAGCGUAUCGAAUUGUCCCGAAAACUCGAUUCUUUUUUCACUCCGGAGAAGAAGAAGAGUUCCGAGACGUCAAAGAAGGGGAAAUUGAAAACAGUAGGCAGUGAUUCGGAGGACAUGGGUUUGACGGGGAGUUCGAAAGUGAACGCUUUGAGGCGAUCGAUGCUGGAGGAGGCGAUGAACAGCCUGCCAGCGCACGGGGCAGGGCGCGUCAUGUACAUGGUGAAGACCUUCGAGAGGCUUCAGUCGGUUGUCAUGACGGCAGAGUAUGUAGAUGGAGAGGAAACGAGAAAAGUGAAGAAUUGGGCACUGCCUGGAUUGGAGUGUCGUCCCGAGGCCAAGUUGAGUGAUUUUUCCCCUUCGCCUGUUUCAUGUUCGGCAGAAUGUCUAGCUGAAGAAGGAACUUUGACUGAGCAUUCGUCUGUGAAGAACAAGGAUAGAAGAUUCAGUAGCGGAAGCAAUGAAUCUUGUAAAGUCCAAAGGAACGACCAAAAUAGCAAAGUCCCAUCAAAAAGAAGGAAUGACAGACUUAAAGCUAAAAGCCCACUGCCUUUCAAAUUGAGUGCAAAGGUUUCCAAGCACAUAAGCUUCCUUGAGCAAAUCAAACAGGAGAGAGAUAGACUGAUGAAGGUUACAUUAUUUUUUAUUAUAAUUUGUUUAUAUUUAAAUCUCUUCGGUUUGACUGAUAAAGUUAAUGUCGUCUGUUUAAAUUAAAAAAAAAAAGAAAAGAAAUAAGAAGACUUCCUGAAGUACUUGGACCAAGUGUCUUAAAACUUCGAAUCAAUAAAGGUCGUCAACUAUGUUGAUCCUUAGAAGAAGAUUUGGGAACCCCUUAAAGAUUAAACUUACUAUUCAAGAUACAAAUUGCUGUGAAUGUGAAACAACACGAUUCAUCAAUUGUUGGAAAGCCAUGAAAAAUGGCAAUUGUCUUGGUGUAUGUUCACCAAAAGAUUAUGCUAAUAUUAUUUUGUUUAUCUAUUCUUAUUUUAAUUCAACCAAUUGUCGAUAUAUUGUUAUAAACAAGC